CCCAUCCUAGGGAGAAGAUGACCAAGGCUCAUCAGUGGAUGUGUCCUGUCUUGUGGAAACCCUCACAGUACUUCUCUGGGAGCUCGAGGACGGCCUGGUGCCUGCCCUGCAGCAGGGUAACACCCCCUAUGUCCAUGGGGUUUUGUAUUUGUACUAAGAUUUGGCCAGUACCCAGAAGGCUCUGGAGCUGCUGGGUAAAAGGUAUGGACGCCUCCAGCCAUAUGUUGAGGAGGAGUACCUUCAAGACAAGAAAUCAUGACUCACCUUCUUCUCAUUCCCUAAGAAACAAAAUUGAAGUUAGACCAGUUAAUUACUCUGUAAUGGACUGAACAGUUGGAAUAGAAGGAAGAGUUCCAUGUUUUGCAUUCUAAAUAGAAAGCUGUGCCUUGGGCUAGGCUGUAGCUCAGUGGCAGAGUGCUUGCCUAGAAUGUAUGAGGCACUGAGUUCAAUCCUUAGCACUACAAAAAAAA